rnacentral:rRNA from 1 species
UACAGAGGGGGCAAGCGUUGUUCGGAAUUACUGGGCGUAAAGGGCGCGUAGGCGGCCAACUAAGUCAGACGUGAAAUCCCUCGGCUCAACCGGGGAACUGCGUCUGAUACUGAAUGGCUUGAAUCCGGGAGAGGGAUGUGGAAUUCCAGGUGUAGCGGUGAAAUGCGUAGAUAUCUGGAGGAACACCCGUGGCGAAGGCGGCAUCCUGGACCGGUAUUGACGCUGAGGCGCGAAAGCCAGGGGAGCAAACGGG